GAUGAACGCUGGCGGCGUGCCUAAUACGUGCAAGUCGAGCGAACAGAUAAGGAGCUUGCUCCUUUGACGUUAGCGGCGGACGGGUGAGUAACACGUGGGUAACCUACCUAUAAGACUGGAAUAACUCCGGGAAACCGGGGCUAAUGCCGGAUAACAUUUAGAACCGCAUGGUUCUAAAGUGAAAGAUGGUUUUGCUAUCACUUAUAGAUGGACCCGCGCCGUAUUAGCUAGUUGGUAAGGUAACGGCUUACCAAGGCAACGAUACGUAGCCGACCUGAGAGGGUGAUCGGCCACACUGGAACUGAGACACGGUCCAGACUCCUACGGGAGGCAGCAGUAGGGAAUCUUCCGCAAUGGGCGAAAGCCUAACGGAGCAACGCCGCGUGAGUGAUGAAGGUCUUCGGAUCGUAAAACUCUGUUAUUAGGGAAGAACAAAUGUGUAAGUAACUGUGCACGUCUUGACGGUACCUAAUCAGAAAGCCACGGCUAACUACGUG
rnacentral:rRNA from 1 species